UGCCAGUGAAAACAAUGAGCCGUUUGCCUGAGUAAUGAGCAUAAAAUUGGAGCUGAGGAUUGUGUGCAGCUGACUGCAGAGCUGGUAUAUGUGUCAGAAACCUGACAGAAGCUAAACCUGAAAAAAUGAGGGUAACAUACUUCUAGUUAGAGGAUUUAAAGACAUUACUUUUUUUUUUUUUUUUUGUAGAAUCUCUUUACCAUACCCAAAAUUGACUAGGGAAAAAGAUCUCUGUUAUUCAGCAUCUAAAUUAAAGGCUGAUAAAUCUGGUUGUUCUGAAGUGUUCUCCUUUAGCCCACCAAGGUGAUCUCCAGAAAAAAUGAGUAAGACAUUUAUUCUUGUCCUUAUGUAUCAAGUGGAAUGAAAGAAAAGUGUGAAAACCUAGAAAUUCGUGUUUAUUAUUUCAUUAUGCCCAUGCUUUGUACAACCCUUUAUCCCCCUUAUUCCAAGGCACAUUCCUGGAUGCCACUUGCAUGA
rnacentral:lncRNA from 1 species